rnacentral:rRNA from 1 species
GGUUAAGUUACUAAGGGCACACGGUGGAUGCCUUGGCGCUAGGAGCCGAAGAA